GAUGAACGCUGGCGGCGUGCCUAAUACAUGCAAGUCGAGCGAACGGACGAGAAGCUUGCUUCUCUGAUGUUAGCGGCGGACGGGUGAGUAACACGUGGAUAACCUACCUAUAAGACUGGUAUAACUUCGGGAAACCGUAGCUAAUACCGGAUAAUAUUUUGAACCGCAUGGUUCAAAAGUGAAAGACGGUCUUUCUGUCACUUAUAGAUGGAUCCGCGCUGCAUUAGCUAGUUGGUAAGGUAACGGCUUACCAAGGCAACGAUGCAUAGCCGACCUGAGAGGGUGAUCGGCCACACUGGAAGUGAGACACGGUCAAGACGCCUACGGGAGGCAGCAGUAGGGAAUCUUACGCAAUGGGCGAAAGCCUGACGGAGCAACGCCGCGUGAGUGAUGAAGGUCUUCGGAUCGUAAAACUCUGUUAUUAGGGAAGAACAUAUGUGUAAGUAACUGUGCACAUAUUGACGGUAACUAAUAAGAAAGCCACGGCUAACUACGUG
rnacentral:rRNA from 1 species